ACCCCUACGGGGGGCAGCAGUGAGGAAUAUUGCACAAUGGGCGAAAGCCUGAUGCAGCCAUGCCGCGUGAAUGAAGAAGGUUUUAGGAUUGUAAAGUUCUUUCAGUGGUGAGAAUAGUGAUGUUAACCACAGAAGAAGUCCCGGCUAACUCCGUGCCAGCAGCCGCGGUAA
rnacentral:rRNA from 1 species